CGGGUGAGUAACGCGUGGAUAACCUGCCCAGAGGUGGGGGAUAACCCGGGGAAACUCGGGCUAAUACCGCAUGAUACCGAGAGGUCAAAGGGGGCUCGCAAGGGCUCUCGCCAUUGGAGGGGUCCGCGUCCGAUUAGCUAGUUGGUGGGGUAAUGGCCUACCAAGGCGACGAUCGGUAGCCGGCCUGAGAGGGUGAUCGGCCACACUGGAACUGAGACACGGUCCAGACUCCUACGGGAGGCAGCAGUGGGGAAUUUUGCGCAAUGGGCUAACGCCUGACGCAGCAACGCCGCGUGGAGGAUGAAGGUCUUUGGAUUGUAAACUCCUGUCAGCAGGGAAAAAGCGAAUCGGCCUAACACGCCGGUGAGUUGAUUGUACCUGCAGAGGAAGCCCCGGCUAACUCUGUGCCAGCAGCCGCGGUAAUACAGAGGGGGCAAGCGUUAUUCGGAAUUAUUGGGCGUAAAGGGCGCGUAGGCGGCUUGGCAAGUGGAUGGUGAAAUCCCUCGGCUUAACCGAGGAACUGCCAUCCAAACUGCUUUGCUUGAGUCCGGGAGAGGCGAGUGGAAUUCCCAGUGUAGCGGUGAAAUGCGUAGAUAUUGGGAGGAAC
rnacentral:rRNA from 1 species